UACGGAGGAUGCGAGCGUUAUUCGGAUUUAUUGGGUUUAAAGGGUGCGCAGGCGGCACGGCAAGCCGGCGGUCAAAUCGCGGGGCUCAACCCCGCCCAGCCGUCGGAACUGCCGGGCUAGAGUGGGCGAGAAGUGCGCGGAAUGCGUGGUGUAGCGGUGAAAUGCAUAGAUAUCACGCAGAACUCCGAUUGCGAAGGCAGCGCACCGGCGCCCUACUGACGCUCAGGCACGAAAGCGUGGGUAUCGAACAGG
rnacentral:rRNA from 1 species